AUUUUAAAGGUCAGGAGGCUGCAGGUAUCAGUAACUGGCUAACGCCAAGCUACAGACAAACAACUCAGGGUUGACCAAGACAAGAUCACCUAAGUGCGAGAUAAGGAAUUGGAAGCCACUAUGACUAACUCUGAAGUAGUAGUGCUAUAGUCACAUAACAAUGGUAAAGGCUUUAAAUUUUUUUGGCUAUGCUCUAUGGAAUGACUAAAUGAAAAGGCAGCAUGUUCUUAAAGGAUACAAUAUGACAG